rnacentral:rRNA from 1 species
GAUUUCUGACAUUAAUGCGCUUGACCCGCUACGGUUACGUAUGUGUGUGUCGAGUCGUGUUUGUCAUCCUUCUAGAAAAUGUUAGUAGGCUCUUCAUUGAGUCUGUUAAUCACAAUCUAGAUCUUUUACUUUGAAAAAAUUAGAGUGUUUAAAGCAGGCGUUUGCUAUGAAUACAUUAGCAUGGAAUAAUAAUUUAGGACUUCGGUUCUAUUUUGUUGGUUUCUAGAACUGAAGUAAUGAUUGAUAGGGAUGGUUGGGGGUGCUCGUAUUCAGUGGCCAGAGGUGAAAUUCUUGGAUUCACUGAAGACGAACUUAUGCGAAAGCAUU